AGGUCUUGUGAUCGGGCUGAUCCCUGACGACGCAACGCCGCGUGAAUGAUGAAGGCCUUCGGGUUGUAAACCCCUUGUCGGCGGGACGAUAUGGACGGUGCCUAAAAAACAAGCUGCGGCUAAUUCCCUGCCAGCGCCCCCGUUAUAUUUUUUUACCCCCGCCAAAAUAUAUAA
rnacentral:rRNA from 1 species